CCUGGCUCAGGACGAACGCUGGCGGCGCGCCUAACACAUGCAAGUCGAACGAGAGAUGAGGAGCUUGCUCUUCAAAUCGAGUGGCGAACGGGUGAGUAACGCGUGAGGAACCUGCCUCAAAGAGGGGGACAACAGUUGGAAACGACUGCUAAUACCGCAUAAGCCCACAGCUCGGCAUCGAGCAGAGGGAAAAGGAGUGAUCCGCUUUGAGAUGGCCUCGCGUCCGAUUAGCUGGUUGGUGAGGUAACGGCCCACCAAGGCGAUGAUCGGUAGCCGGACUGAGAGGUUGAACGGCCACAUUGGGACUGAGACACGGCCCAGACUCCUACGGGAGGCAGCAGUGGGGAAUAUUGCACAAUGGGGGAAACCCUGAUGCAGCGACGCCGCGUGGAGGAAGAAGGUCUUCGGAUUGUAAACUCCUGUUGUUGAGGAAGAUAAUGACGGUACUCAACAAGGAAGUGACGGCUAACUACGUGCCAGCAGCCGCGGUAAAACGUAGGUCACAAGCGUUGUCCGGAAUUACUGGGUGUAAAGGGAGCGCAGGCGGGAGAACAAGUUGGAAGUGAAAUCCAUGGGCUCAACCCAUGAACUGCUUUCAAAACUGUUUUUCUUGAGUAGUGCAGAGUAGGCGGAAUUCCCGGUGUAGCGGUGGAAUGCGUAGAUAUCGGGAGGAACACCAGUGGCGAAGGCGGCCUACUGGGCACCAACUGACGCUGAGGCUCGAAAGUGUGGGUAGCAAACAGGAUUAGAUACCCUGGUAGUCCACACCGUAAACGAUGAUUACUAGGUGUUGGAGGAUUGACCCCUUCAGUGCCGCAGUUAACACAAUAAGUAAUCCACCUGGGGAGUACGACCGCAAGGUUGAAACUCAAAGGAAUUGACGGGGGCCCGCACAAGCAGUGGAGUAUGUGGUUUAAUUCGACGCAACGCGAAGAACCUUACCAAGUCUUGACAUCCCUUGACGAACAUAGAAAUAUGUUUUCUCUUCGGAGCAAGGAGACAGGUGGUGCAUGGUUGUCGUCAGCUCGUGUCGUGAGAUGUUGGGUUAAGUCCCGCAACGAGCGCAACCCUUAUGGUCAGUUACUACGCAAGAGGACUCUGGCCAGACUGCCGUUGACAAAACGGAGGAAGGUGGGGAUGACGUCAAAUCAUCAUGCCCUUUAUGACUUGGGCUACACACGUACUACAAUGGCGUUAAACAAAGAGAAGCAAGACCGCGAGGUGGAGCAAAACUCAGAAACAACGUCCCAGUUCGGACUGCAGGCUGCAACUCGCCUGCACGAAGUCGGAAUUGCUAGUAAUCGUGGAUCAGCAUGCCACGGUGAAUACGUUCCCGGGCCUUGCACACACCGCCC
rnacentral:rRNA from 1 species